rnacentral:rRNA from 1 species
UACGUAGGGUGCGAGCGUUGCCCGGAUUUAUUGGGCGUAAAGGGUGCGUAGGCGGCGCGGUAAGUCGGGUGUGAAAUCUUGGAGCUUAACUCCGAAACUGCAUUCGAUACUGCCGUGCUUGAGGACUGGAGAGGAGACUGGAAUUUACGGUGUAGCGGUGAAAUGCGUAGAUAUCGUAAGGAAGACCAGUGGCGAAGGCGGGUCUCUGGACAGUUCCUGACGCUGAGGCACGAAGGCCAGGGGAGCAAACGGG